rnacentral:rRNA from 1 species
UGGGGAAUAUUGCACAAUGGGCGCAAGCCUGAUGCAGCCAUGCCGCGUGUGUGAAGAAGGCCUUCGGGUUGUAAAGCACUUUCAGCGAGGAGGAAGGGUAGUGUGUUAAUAGCACAUUGCAUUGACGUUACUCGCAGAAGAAGCACCGGCUAACUCCGUGCCAGCAGCCGCGGUAAUACGGAGGGUGCAAGCGUUAAUCGGAAUUACUGGGCGUAAAGCGCACGCAGGCGGUUUGUUAAGUCAGAUGUGAAAUCCCCGCGCUUAACGUGGGAACUGCAUUUGAAACUGGCAAGCUAGAGUCUUGUAGAGGGGGGUAGAAUUCCAGGUGUAGCGGUGAAAUGCGUAGAGAUCUGGAGGAAUACCGGUGGCGAAGGCGGCCCCCUGGACAAAGACUGACGCUCAGUGC